AGUCGAGCGAACGGACGAGAAGCUUGCUUCUCUGAUGUUAGCGGCGGACGGGUGAGUAACACGUGGAUAACCUACCUAUAAGACUGGGAUAACUUCGGGAAACCGGAGCUAAUACCGGAUAACAUUUGGAACCGCAUGGUUCAAAAGUGAAAGACGGUCUUGCUGUCGCUUAUAGAUGGAUCCGCGCUGCAUUAGCUAGUUGGUAAGGUAACGGCUUACCAAGGCAACGAUGCAUAGCCGACCUGAGAGGGUGAUCGGCCACACUGGAACUGAGACACGGUCCAGACUCCUACGGGAGGCAGCAGUAGGGAAUCUUCCGCAAUGGGCGAAAGCCUGACGGAGCAACGCCGCGUGAGUGAUGAAGGUCUUCGGAUCGUAAAACUCUGUUAUUAGGGAAGAACAAAUGUGUAAGUAACUGUGCACGUCUUGACGGUACCUAAUCAGAAAGCCACGGCUAACUACGUGCCAGCAGCCGCGGUAAUACGUAGGUGGCAAGCGUUAUCCGGAAUUAUUGGGCGUAAAGCGCGCGUAGGCGGUUUCUUAAGUCUGAUGUGAAAGCCCACGGCUCAACCGUGGAGGGUCAUUGGAAACUGGGAAACUCGAGUGCAGAAGAGGAAAGUGGAAUUCCAUGUGUAGCGGUGAAAUGCGCCAGAGAUAUGGAGGAACACCAGUGGCGAAGGCGACUUUCUGGUCUG
rnacentral:rRNA from 1 species